AGGAGCCGUAUGAGAUGACAAUCUCAUGUACGGUUCUGUAAUAGCGUUGUGAACAGUAAUGUUAUCGUCGACUAUAAU
rfam:Daucus carota subsp. sativus cultivar DH1 plastid, complete sequence, whole genome shotgun sequence.